CUUACAUCAUGCGCUGUAGUACACUGGAUGGAUGGAUACCAGUUGAGAAAAAGAUCAUCGUCGGGUGAUUCAACGCCUGCAACGGUAUUGAGAGGAAGAGGAAGGGGGAGAGGGAGAGGAGGGAGAGGAAGAGGCAGAGGACCGGGAUGCAGGCGUGGAGGAAGAGGAAGAGGAGGAGGAGAACAACAGUCACGACCACGACGUCAACGACCGGCACCUGCAGCUGAAGAUGUUGCUAGAAUUGAAGAUCUCUAAAGGCAGAGAAGAGAAGCCACAGAGAAUCUUCUGCAGGAGAUGAGCCUCGAGGACUACAGAGACCUCACAGCUAGAUUGUUGGAGAGACAGCCAGGGCUGGUCUUUGAUUUAUUGGCAGAGCGUCAGAGCAGACAUGGUGCCCCUGCAUCUGCAGAAGUAGUGGGAGUACCUUGGUGUACCUGCAACAACUGCAGAGACAUGCCCACCGACCUGGAAAGAAAAUGCUGUGGCCAAGACCCAGCCCACUGUGUGAGCCUCCUGCCACAUUUUACACAGUACUGCCUGGAUUAGGGGUAUUUGAGAAUACAUCGGCAGUACCGGGAGGAAAUAACAGCAUUUGGGAAUCUAAGGGAGCCUGGUGAUGACAACAGAGAAUACCGGUAUGCAGCUUACA